UACGUAGGCAGCGAGCGUUGUUCGGCAUUACUGGGCGUAAAGAGUGUGUAGGCGGUGCUCCCAGUCUGGUGUGAAAUCUCCCGGCUUAACUGGGAGGGUGCGCCGGAAACUGGAGUGCUAGAGGGUGGGAGAGGUAAGCGGAAUUCCUGGUGUAGCGGUGAAAUGCGUAGAUAUCCGGAGGAACACCUGUGGUGUAGUCAGCUUACUGGCCCACUUCUGACGCUGAGCCACGAUAGCGUGGGUAGCAAACAGG
rnacentral:rRNA from 1 species